CUGCUUAAAAGCUCUGCUCCUCGCAGUCUCCAGUGCCAGAACGUCUUUAGCCACACGGUGAGCGCUUCCAGCCUUCUUUUUGUAUUCCUGUUUGCCUGUCAGUCUCUCGACCUGUUUUGCCUCUGUUUUUGAAAACCUGUCUGCCCCUUUUGGAUUUGUCUGCCUGCCUGGGUCCUGCCUGUCAGCCUCAGAGAACUGGACUGCCUCACCGUGUUUCUGACCCCAGUCUGUCCGUGAGUAAAACGAGUUCGCCUGCCCCCUGUUCUGUCUGUGCUUUCUGGAUUGACCUGGACCUGGACCUGGACGCUCUAUUGGAUUCCCCCUUGGAGACCGCUGCCUGAGCUAAACGGUUUUCCCCCUGACAAAGACCUGGACCGGACCUGGACAAGGAGCCCUGGAUAACCCCCUCUCGGACGCCUUCGUAACAAGGAGUCAGAGUUCUGCCCUCAGCACGUCCAGGAGCGGCCAGUCGCAGAGUGCGAGCCGAACCAGGGACCGAGCCGCCAGCGUUAAAAUAAAGACUGAUAUUAUUUUUGUA